GAUUUAGUUACCCUAAAUAAGGGUCUGUAACAACUGAUACCUUUGAAAAGAAGUGAGGAUCUACAAAAAAUUGAUAAUAUUUUUCAGGAGUCUAAAUAUCUACUAAGGAAACUUACUUUGAUAGUACACAGUCAUUAUCUUUACUUAGCUUUCAUUACAAGCAAUAAAAGCAGUGCUGAAGAACUAAAGAGAAGAUAUUCUUCUUUCCUUUCAGACUGAUUGGAAGUUUGGCACAGUGACUGGAAGGGAUAAGUCAGAGCCAUGUCGCCAUCUUAUUCCUACACAGAGUGUGAGCCACCUCCACAUGGUCUCUACUGCACCUGAGCUAUUAAUAUUAAUAAUCUGAAACAUGUUAAAGACAUGAACACUUCAUAAAUACUUACAGUCCUGAGAUCUCUUGCUCCUUGACAAAAGACCUGAUCAAACAUCAAUACAAUUUUGAAUCUAGAAAGAUUGUGAGAACAUAAAUCUAGAAAGAUUGUGAGAACAUAAAAAAUUGUGUUAAUAAAGACUGUUGCAGUGAAAGGCAUUAAUAACAGCUAUAAUAUGGAAAGAAGGAGCCUGCAUUCCACUUCAGAAAUAUGUGGCAUAUGUAGGAUAAAAUACAAAGCUAAAAAAUUCUUUAUUACAGUAACUGUAAUAGUUCCUUGGUUUUAAAUGUAAAUAUCAGAAAGAAGUAAAAAUUGCCUUUAGCACAAUUUAAAAAUUUUUCUGAUAAUAGUCAAUCCUACCAAACAGAGCUAACUCACCCAGAAGAAAUAAUAGGCAAAUAGGCAGAGUCUGUCAAAAUGAGACGACUCCUUGCUGUGUAACAGGAAGGCUUUUAGUGAUAUGGUUGAAAGUGCACUCAGAAUAGAAGCUCUCAAAUAAAGAAACAGAAUUUAAGAAGUUUUCAGUGCGAAUUUGGUCUCUCAAAGGCCUUGUGCAUUGCUAUUGAUUUUCAUGGAUUUGAGCUAUUAUUUCAUCUGGGGCUUGCUUCAAAUAAUUUACUUCAUCCUACCUGCCUGCUGAAUUUCAUAUUUCACCUUGUCUUUCAGAACACAAACCCAAAGAAACAGGUCCUGUCAUAUUAAUACAUUUGUUUAGUACCUACUUGCCAAGGGUCCUUUACUGAAAGUCAUGUAGACAACAGCGCUAGCUCUGAUUUGCAUUGCAUUUUCCUAUACUCAUAUCCAAGACUGUUCCCUGGCAAACCUGGAACUAAAUCACUAAGACUACAGAGAGAGAAACAAGGUACUAAUAUGUAUCCAAACCACUAAAAUAAACAAAAAUUAUAUAUCUGUUGGAGUGAAGGAACUCUGGUUUUCAUGAGGAGCACUCCCCCUGUUACAGAAAAUAAUUUAUCAACAACAUUGAAGCAUUUUCAAUGGCAAAACCAACACGAUCAAACACCAGAAAUCCUUAAUCUUAGUUCAAAAUCUGAAGCCCUUAGGCAAAAUUAGUUAAAAAGAACAGUUCCCUUGGAUGGUGGUGUGCAAGCCUUUAGAGAGCCACCCAUACACAGAGGAAGGUUUUUCUACAAACUGACUUUUGCCUAGGGUGGCCACUGCCUUUCCAUGGACUCCAUCUGCAGUCAGCAGAGAAGAGAGAGAUUCCCUCAAAAUGGCAAACAAGAGCCAGAGCCAGAGCUAAACUUCUCUGAAUUGCUCUCCUGGGGGAUUUUUUCCCUUCUCAAUGACAUUAGAGCUUUUAGAGGCGUAUUAUUAGCCUUGGGUAGAGGGAGGAUACUCAAAUGAACAAGAAGCAAUGAGACAAUAAACUUGGAGUUUUGUUUCCCUCAUUUGAUGCCUUUGUUGAUUCUGUUAAAUAACUUGAGCAGCAAAGAGAACUAGCUUAAGUCUGCAGUACACUUGUAAUUUUCCAUUCUAAAACCUGUUCUCUUUUCCUCAACCUGUAAGAAUUGGGUUUUUUACAUUUGUUGUGGAAAUCAGAAUUUUAAAUAAACCUUUACUUCUUUUGGUAUAUCAAAAAAAAAAAAGAGGCUAGAAUAAAAGAAUUCAACUUUAUAUUAGACCCUUAAAAUAUUAAAUGAUCUCUUAAAAUUUUUAACUAAUUUCUAGUUCAUGAAAUGAACACUAAUUUCCUGCAAGUAGCAACCCAACAUGACAAAGUAUACACUGCUGCAGGAAUCCCUCUUGUAUUUAAGGCACCAGAUAGAUUAGUCAGUUGUAGUUCAGUACCAAAAAGUUUGUUUCCUGACUGAGAAGCCAGACUCAAAUAAACCAGACUGACUAAAAAUCUUCUGAUGCUCUUUGCAGAUAGAAUCAAACAGUAGACAUUUUGAAAAGUGGGGAGUCUGCAUCUGAAAGAAAACCUCCCAAUGAGAAUUACCAUCCUGUAACAAGAAAGCCAUUUCUGACUAAAUCAUUCUCCUUUGCUCUAAAUAGAAUGGUCUGAAUUUCCUAUAUACAAGUUAAACACAUUCUGUCAAUAAAUGAAUAAACUGCUUCAAACCUGAUUUGAUUUAAACCACAUGAGUUGAAAAGGAUUUUCCCUUUAACUGUAAAUAGUGGAUGAAGACACUAAACUGAGGCACAGACUCAGCUUAACACCCAGGUCAAAUCACACCGAUGCCUAUCCAGAUACCUAUUUUUGAAGAUGAAACAGGACAACAACUCAGAGCUCAUGCAAUGUCUCUUCAGAAAAGGAUGUACUAAAGUGCAGAAAGAAAACCUAGUGAGCCACCAGUCUAGAAAACAGAAAUAGUGUGAAGAAAUAAGUGAAGGAGGACAUCAGGAUGACAGGAUGGGAUCUUCUUUUUAUCCACUAAGUGUCUAAAAACAGUCAUGUAAAAUUUGUGCUUUCUAUAGAUAUUACAAUGUAUUUUUUGACCAUUUUGUGAAGUUAUCUGCCCUGUUAGCUAAAUUCCCAACAUUUUUGCACACAACUUUUAAAUGAGCUUAAAUCAGUUUAAGUGAAAAAACUGAAGAGCUUUUGAUCAGUUCAGUAUAUGAGUUGCAAAGAUGACAUUAGACUCCUUCCUUCAAAGCCUUAAUUUGAUAUGUUACAGGUACUACAGAGAAAUCAGCAAUUAAAACCAAAGCUGAUACUUUCAAUAUGAGAGGGGGGAAAACCUAAAUACCGUCUGAACUGCACUGUUUUCUUGAAAAAUGAAAAAUAAGACACUGCAUGUUUGCUUUCUUUGCUCUUUGAUGUUGUGUGUCUUCUUAAAAAAAUUAGAAAACCUCCCAUUAUCCUCUGAACAAAAUUGAGUGCUGGCCUCAGACCCACUUUAUUUUCCUGAGAGCAGAUAUGAUUAUGUGGAUAAAUCCAGUUGUGAACUUAAUAAGCUUUGGCAGAAAAGGGACUGAAGGAAGGUGAGCAAUAGAACAAGCCAAGAUAAAUACCCAAAUUAACCUUCAACCCUUUCAGUGGCAUCUAAAGAUGCUAAAGGAAAGUUUGUGAGUUAAUUUCACAUGGAUGUAGCUCUCCAUUAGUUCAAGCAGCAAGUGGGAAAUUACAAAGCCAUAUAAAAUAUACUUUGGAGAGAACAUUUUAGAGAACAUUUCACAGAAGCUCUUUUUUGACCUCUCUUUAAGCCAUAGUUUGUAGCUCAGCUAUUUUGUAAUCUACUUGAAGAAGCAUAUGCUCUGUGGACGGCAUCCCACUGGACUGAAAUAAGCAGAGCAAAGUGGGAAUCAGCUUGUCCAUUCCCAAAAUUCAUUUUAAGGGGAAGUUCUUGUGAAAAACUUGACCUAACCACACUAACACCCACAUUCCUGGAACAUUGAGAGAACAAGUCCAAAAGAAGUGAAAGGUGGAAAACAGGAGGAAAACUAAAAUUGCUGCAAUUAAAAAUUGUAUGGCAAUGACACCAAGACAAAUGCAGUCUUUGCUGUGCUUCUCAGAGAAGACUUAAUGCCCAGCAAUUACUCU